rnacentral:rRNA from 1 species
UACGAACUGUGCAAACGUUAUUCGGAAUCACUGGGCGUAAAGGGCGCGUAGGCGGCUCAUGAAGGCUGUGGUGAAAGUCCGGGGCUCAACCUCGGAUCGGCCGUGGCGACUCGUGGGCUGGAGCACUGUAGAGGCGGGUGGAAUUCCGGGUGUAGCGGUGGAAUGCGUAGAGAUCCGGAAGAACACCAGUGGCGAAGGCGGCCCGCUGGGCAGUGGCUGACGCUGAAGCGCGACAGCGUGGGGAGCAAACAGG